GCUACCACAUCCAAGGAAGGCAGCAGGCGCGCAAAUUACCCACUCCCGGCACGGGGAGGUAGUGACGAAAAAUAACGAUACGGGACUCAUCCGAGGCCCCGUAAUCGGAAUGAGCACACUUUAAAUCCUUUAACGAGUAUCCAUUGGAGGGCAAGUCUGGUGCCAGCAGCCGCGGUAAUUCCAGCUCCAAUAGCGUAUAUUAAAGUUGUUGCGGUUAAAAAGCUCGUAGUCGGACUUGUGUCACACGCUGCCGGUUCACCGCCCGUCGGUGUUUAACUGGCAUGCACGUGCUGACGUCCUGCCGGUGGCCCAAGCGGGUCCGGGAGCUCUGGGUGCGGGAUUCCCUUCGGGGGCCCGCCUCGAACCCGGUGUCCUGGGAGGGCCUACUCAUACCCCUCGCGGUGCUCUUAACCGAGUGUCUCGAUGGGCCGGCACGUUUACUUUGAACAAAUUAGAG
rnacentral:rRNA from 3 species